AGAGUUUGAUCUUAGCUCAGAUUGAGCGCUGACGGCGUGCUUAAGACAUGCAAGUCGAGCGGAGUAGGAGCAAUCCUACUCAGCGGCGAACGGGCUAGUAUUCAUAGAUAACAUGCCCUUAACUGGGGAAUAACCACCAGAAAUGGUGGCUAAUACCGCAUGUGGUGCAAACAGGGUAUCCUGAGUGUAUUAAAGCGGGGGAUCGUAAGACCUCGCGGUUAGGGAAUGGUUUAUGUUCUAUCAGCUAGUUGGUGAGGUAAUGGCUCACCAAGGCGAAGACGGAUAGGCGGACUGAGAGGUUGACCGCCAGCAGUGGGACUGAGACACGGCCCACACUCCUACGGGAGGCAGCAGUCGGGAAUAUUCCGCAAUGGGGGAAACCCUGACAGAGCGACGCCGUGUGAAGGAUGAAGGCCUUUUGGUCGUAAACUUCUUUUGUCGAAGAAAAAAUGGGAGUCGUUAAUACCGACUCCAACUGAUUGUAUUCGAAGAAUAAGCACCGGCCAACUCCGUGCCAGCAGCCGCGGUAAUACGGAGGGUGCAAGCGCUAAUCGGAAUUAUUGGGCGUAAAGGGUGCGUAGGCGGACAGGCAAGUCAGAUGUGAAAUCCCGACACUCAAUGUCGGACCCGCAUUUGAAACUAUCUGUCUUGAGGAUAGGCGGAGCAAGCGGAAUACCAUGUGUAGCGGUGAAAUGCGUAGAUAUAUGGUAGAACACCAGUGGCGAAAGCGGCUUGCUAGCUUAUUACUGACGCUGAGGCACGAGAGCGUGGGGAGCAAACAGGAUUAGAUACCCUGGUAGUCCACGCCGUAAACGAUGUGUACUUGAUGUAGGUGGGCUCAACCCUGCCUGUAUCGAAGCUAACGCGAUAAGUACACCGCCUGGGGAGUACGCUCGCAAGAGUGAAACUCAAAAGAAUUGACGGGGGCUCGCACAAGCAGUGGAGCAUGUGGUUUAAUUCGAUUGUACGCGAAGAACCUUACCUGGGCUUGACAUGUAGAUGACCGCGCAAGAGAAGGCGCUUUCCGCAAGGACAUCUAUACAGGUGCUGCAUGGCUGUCGUCAGCUCGUGCCGUGAGGUGUUGGGUUAAGUCCCGCAACGAGCGCAACCCUUGCCAUUAGUUGCCAGCACGUUAUGGUGGGAACUCUAAUGGGACUGCCCGGGUUAACCGGGAGGAAGGUGAGGAUGACGUCAAGUCCGCAUGGCCCUUAUGUCCAGGGCUACACACGUGCUACAAUGGUCGGUACAAUGGGCAGCAAGAUCGUAAGAUGGAGCAAAUCCCAAAAGCCGGCCCCAGUUCAGAUUGAGGUCUGCAACUCGACCUCAUGAAGUUGGAAUUGCUAGUAAUGGCGAAUCAGCUACGUCGCCGUGAAUACGUUCCCGAGCCUUGUACACACCGCCCGUCACACCACGGGAGCUGGUUUUACCCGAAGCCGCUGACCCAACCGCAAGGAGGGAAGCGUCUAAGGUAGUGCCGGUGACUAGGGUGAAGUCGAAACAAGGUA
rnacentral:rRNA from 1 species